rnacentral:rRNA from 1 species
UACGUAGGGUGCGAGCGUUGUCCGGAAUUAUUGGGCGUAAAGAGCUCGUAGGCGGUGUGUCACGUCGGCCGUGAAAACCUGCAGCUUAACUGUGGGCGUGCGGUCGAUACGGGCAUCACUGGAGUUCGGCAGGGGAGACUGGAAUUCCUGGUGUAGCGGUGAAAUGCGUAGAUAUCGGGAGGAACACCAGUGGCGAAGGCGACUUCUUGGCCUGUUCUUGACGCUGAGGCGCGAAAGCUGGGGGAGCAAACGGG